CCUACGGGGUGCAGCAGUCGAGAAUCAUUCACAAUGGGGGAAACCCUGAUGGUGCGACGCCGCGUGGGGGAAUGAAGGUCUUCGGAUUGUAAACCCCUGUCAUGUGGGAGCAAAUUAAAAAGAUAGUACCACAAGAGGAAGAGACGACUAACUCUGUGCCAGCAGCCGCGGUAAUACAGCGGUCUCAAGCGUUGUUCGGAAUCACUGGGCGUAAAGCGUGCGUAGGCUGUUUCGUAAGUCGUGUGUGAAAGGCGCGGGCUCAACCCGCGGACGGCACAUGAUACUGCGAGACUAGAGUAAGGGAGAGGGAAGCGGAAUUCGCGGUGUAGCAGUGAAAUGCGUAGAUAUCGAGAGGAACACUCGUGGCGAAGGCGGGUUCCUGGACAUUAACUGACGCUGAGGCACGAAGGCCAGGGGAGCGAAAGGGAUUAGAUACCCUAGUAGUC
rnacentral:rRNA from 1 species